CGCUUUUUUCGCCCAGGCGGAACUCGACCGCCUCAAAAAGAAAUGAGGCGCUUCAUCGAUGAACACCGCCAAACCUUUGGGGUCGAGUCAAUCUGUAAGUCCUUUCAGAUUGCCCCU
rfam:Limnobacter sp. MED105 1103186003325, whole genome shotgun sequence.